UGGGUUUAAAGGGUGCGCAGGCGGUAUUAUAAGUCAGUGGUGAAAUCUUGAGGCUCAACCUCGAAACUGCCAUUGAUUCUGUAGUACUAGAGUACAGACGAAGUAGGCGGAAUGUAGCAUGUAGCGGUGAAAUGCUUAGAUAUGCUACAGAACACCGAUCGCGAAGGCAGCUUACUAGACUGUUACUGACGCUAAUGCACGAAAGCGUGGGGAGCGAACAGGAUUAGAUACCCUGGUAGUCCACGCCGUAAACUAUGAUCACUCGAUGUUGGCGAUACACAGUCAGCGUCUAAGGGAAACCGAUAAGUGAUCCACCUGGGGAGUACGAUCGCAAGGUUGAAACUCAAAGGAAUUGACGGGGGCCCGCACAAGCGGAGGAGCAUGUGGUUUAAUUCGAUGAUACGCGAGGAACCUUACCUAGACUUAAAUGUAGAUUGCAUAGCUUAGAGAUAGGCUUUUCCUUCGGGACUAUUUACAAGGUGCUGCAUGGUUGUCGUCAGCUCGUGCCGUGAGGUGUCGGGUUAAGUCCCAUAACGAGCGCAACCCCUAUUCUUAGUUGCCAGCAUGUAAUGAUGGGGACUCUAGGAAAACUGCCAGCGUAAGCUGAGAGGAAGGUGGGGAUGACGUCAAAUCAGCACGGCCCUUACGUCUAGGGCUACACACGUGCUACAAUGGCCGGUACAGAGGGCAGCUACCACGCGAGUGGAUGCGAAUCUCCAAAGCCGGUCUCAGUUCGGAUCGCAGUCUGCAACUCGACUGCGUGAAGUUGGAUUCGCUAGUAAUCGUAGAUCAGCAAUGCUACGGUGAAUACGU
rnacentral:rRNA from 1 species